rnacentral:rRNA from 1 species
UACGUAGGGUGCAAGCGUUGUCCGGAAUUAUUGGGCGUAAAGAGCUCGUAGGCGGUCUGUCACGUCGGCUGUGAAAACUCGGGGCUCAACUCCGAGCCUGCAGUCGAUACGGGCAGACUAGAGUGCUGUAGGGGAGACUGGAAUUCCUGGUGUAGCGGUGAAAUGCGCAGAUAUCAGGAGGAACACCGGUGGCGAAGGCGGGUCUCUGGGCAGUAACUGACGCUGAGGAGCGAAAGCGUGGGGAGCGAACAGG